rnacentral:rRNA from 1 species
UACAGGGGGUGCAAGCGUUAUUCGGAAUUACUGGGCUUAAAGAGUUCGUAGGCGGCAUGGUAAGUAGGGUGUGAAAUCCCUCGGCUCAACCGAGGAAUUGCGCUCUAAACUACCGUGCUAGAGGAAGCUAGAGGUGAGCGGAACUGAUGGUGGAGCGGUGAAAUGCGUUGAUAUCAUCAGGAACACCGGAGGCGAAGGCGGCUCACUGGGGCUUUUCUGACGCUGAGGAACGAAAGCCAGGGUAGCGAACGGG